GACUGUUCGUUCUGACUGUAGAAAUCCAGGCGUCUUGUGUGCUGACCCUGUGCCCUGCAGCCUUACUGAACUUGUUUACUAGUCCUGGUGGCCCUUUGGUUCAGCUAAAAUGAGAGGAGAAGAGGAGAAAUGCUAAGUCACAUGAGAGAACCUGGGGGCAGUUAAGAAGAAAAGAAGAGCAGCUGGGCCGGGCGGUGUAGCUGGGGAGCUUGAGUCGUCCCCUGACUCAGAUGCAGCAGGAGUUGGUAAAAAAUAAUAACUAGAGAACCAGAAGAUGGUAUGUUGCAAAAAUUUAUGAAUUAAAUUCAGACAUUGAUUUCUGAAAUACAGUCUGCUGCUGAACUUGAACCUGGAUCCUAUGGAGCUUCUCCUCUAGGAUGUAGAGCAGCGCGUGGAGAAGCCACUUUGGGCGGCUUUUUGUGGGGUCCUGGGGCCUCUCUCAGCCUCUGGGCACCUCUGUUGAAAACCCUUCCUAGCUGUGUGGCCUGCUGGAAAUCCACUCCACCUGCUUUGCCCUGAAGAUGUGUUCUGUUUAUAACUCACUUCUACUCCUUGGAAAAUAAUUCAUUGAAAACCCAAUUGGUUUUCCACCAGCUCUGGGCAGGGAUGAGGGCUAGCAUAUUAUUAUUUUAUUAAAAAUAUAAAUAAUAAAAGAAAUGUAAUAGAAAAGAACAAAUUUGACUCUGUAUUAGGGCUGUUCCUUUACCUUUAAUAAAACCACUGUGCUCUGUUUUCUAGGCUUGUCUUGUUAGCUCUGGGCUCACAUAAAGAUAACAAGUUGCAAAAUAGACAGUAACCUUUGUUGGAGGUUUUGCAGGAGCACCAUGAUCUGACCCACAUGCACAGCUGCAAGAACAAAAGAUUCCAAGAAGGAAUUCCUGCUUUGCAGCAAACAAGCUUACUCCGUCCCCUUUUUAGUGUAAAAGUGGCCUGAAUUCUGACUUGGGGGAGAUGGUUUUUCAGGACAUUAGACUGCCACCUUUUUGGUCUGCGGGCUUUCCAAAUAAAGUUGCUAUUCCUUGUCUUAA